GGUUGACCUCGGAUCAGGUAGGAAUACCCGCUGAACUUAAGCAUAUCAAUAAGCGGAGGAAAAGAAACCAACAGGGAUUGCCCUANUAACGGCGAGUGAAGCGGCAACAGCUCAAAUUUGAAAUCUGGCUUCGGCCCGAGUUGUAAUUUGUAGAGGAAGCUUUUGGCGCGGCACCUACUGAGUCCCCUGGAACGGGGCGCCAGANAAGGUGAGAACCCCCGUAUAAGUGGGAUGCCUAACCUGNGUAAAGCUNCUUCGACGAGUCGAGUANUUNGGAAAGCUGCUCAAAAAGGGANGNAAAUUUCUUNUAAAGCUAA
rnacentral:rRNA from 1 species